UUUCCUACAUAAAUGAGAUUUGGAGGAAUUAGCAGUAACACUCUGUUGUCGGAAUUAAGGUCGUAACUCGGAAGCUGAUAUCGGGGUUUUUGAGGAUUAUUUCUGGUGAGGGUCUCCUGCGUAUCCGACCGGGUUAGACGUUCCAUUAUGAGUUUAUUAUUAUUAAGGCUAUAUGCAUGAUAGGGUAAUGUCCAUUUAAUCGUAAGAUUUUAUAUGCUUCUUUACCAUAUUUAUUACUUAAUGUGAUACAUGUUCCGUUACUUUGCUAAUAUAUCUGAUUUAAUAUAUGUGUUAAUAUGAGCAGUAGCUAUUACUGAUUAUUGAAUAAAUCUGGUAAUUGAUUGAUCACCUAGUUAGGGCCCGUAUGCUGGCGGUUGUGCUUAUUGCACUUUUGUUACGCGGUGGGCCUUGGUAAGCGCCACAACUAACUAAUGUCGUGGGCUUUGAUAAGCGCCACACUAACUCUACGUGGGCCAUUUUAGUGCCACUAACUCUACGUGGGUCGUCAGCAUAUGUGAGCCGGGAACCCAAAUAAAAUAUGGAUAUGAAUUAGAUUAUAGAUUAGCCUUAUGUGUAAUAUGCUAUAUACCGCAGAGUGACCAGGACAGAGAUCCUCACUCAGUGAUUAGCACUGACCCUUACUUUCCAUUUCAGAGCGACAGUAGGCUUUACUGGGUCACACACUGCAAAAUUCAAUAAGUCAUAUAUGACAUCUUGAGCAGUUUUUGUAUUGAGGAAUUAAUUAUUUGAUUACAUAUAAGCACAAUCCUAGAUUAUGAUGAAGGAAUUAAUCGGAUGGGGGUAAAUAUUAAAUUAUGUAUACGGUAUAAGUAGCGUAGCACCCUAUUCUUGCUUCGUUGUUUUAUUUUAAAACGAAUAUGUUAGCAGUAUGGUGUUACAAUAUCUUCGAUUUAAAUACAUAUUUUAUUAUAAAUGAAUUUUUAAAAAUAAAAGACCAAUGCGUACAUUGGUGGAAUUACUUUUUAAUGAAAAAUACUAAGUACAUUGGUGGAAUUCUUAUGAAAUUAACUUAAAUGCAUGUGUAGUUACUAUGACGAUCCUCAUUGGCAAUGAUGAGAAAUUCAAUACUCACGUUCGGUACUUUAAUGGAGCUUGGUGGAUAGAAGAUAUGAACACCGUUAUGAAGAUACUGAUUGGCAGCAUGAUUGAGAAGAACAGUCGUUUACAAAUUCUCAGAAUAUGUUAUAUGAUCGCUUGUUGCGUGGCUUGGAUAGGGAGAUCAGUGAUAAUGGAUCGGUGACAUACGUCUAUUAAGGUGCAGGUAUGUGGACAGCUAAUUUAUAUAAUAUGAGGUUGUUGUACUGCGGUUGGCAAAACUAGCAGCAAAGCUUUUUAUGGAAGAUUCCGUUAUACGGCCAAAUAUGAAGAUUGUUGUGGAGGAUCUGGAGCAAGUAGAUAUGCUUUAAAGAAGAAUGAAUGGAGGUUAUGCAUGCCUACCAAGUUUCCAAAUUGUCAUCAAUCUCGAAGUUUUCCACGUUACCUUAUGUUAUUGUAGAAUGCCAACAGAACUUUCACAAGACUAAUACCAAUAAUUAGAUUUCUAUUACAUUUUUCACUAAACUGUGUUGAAUAAUGUUUUGAGGAUCAGCUACAUAAAAUGACAUCUAUCAUCAUGAGGUACUAUUAAAUUGUGGUUUUAGCGCAUGUUUAUUAUCAAUUUUGCUAUCAGA
rnacentral:lncRNA from 1 species